rnacentral:rRNA from 1 species
CAGCCGCCGCGGGAAUACGUAGGGUGCAAGCGUUAAUCGGAAUUACUGGGCGUAAAGCGUGCGCAGGCGGUUAUGCAAGACAGAUGUGAAAUGCCCGGGCUUAACCUGGGAACUGCAUUUGUGACUGCAUGGCUAGAAUCUGGCAGAGGGGGGUAGAAUUCCACGUGUAGCAGUGAAAUGCGUAGAUAUGUGGAGGAUACCGAUGGCGAAGGCAGCCCCCUGGGCCAAGAUUGACGCUCAUGCACGAAAGCGUGGGGAGCAAACAGGAUUAGAUACCCCCGUAGUCCCUGUCUCUUAUACA